UUCUGGACUGUAACUGACGUUGAGGCACGAAAGUGUGGGGAGCAAACAGGAUUAGAUACCCUGGUAGUCCACACUGUAAACGAUGGAUACUAGGUGUAGGGGGUAUUAAACCUUCUGUGCCGUCGCAAACGCAAUAAGUAUCCCACCUGGGGAGUACGACCGCAAGGUUGAAACUCAAAGGAAUUGACGGGGGCCCGCACAAGCAGUGGAGUAUGUGGUUUAAUUCGAAGCAACGCGAAGAACCUUACCAGGGCUUGACAUAUACAGGAAUACUAAAGAGAUUUAGUAGUUCUUCGGAACCUGUAUACAGGUGGUGCAUGGUUGUCGUCAGCUCGUGUCGUGAGAUGUUGGGUUAAGUCCCGCAACGAGCGCAACCCCUGUUUCUAGUUGCCAGCAUGUAAGAUGGGAACUCUAGAGAGACUGCCGUUGAUAAAACGGAGGAAGGUGGGGACGACGUCAAAUCAUCAUGCCCUUUAUGUCCUGGGCUACACACGUACUACAAUGGCUAUAACAAAGGGAAGCGAAGGAGAGAUCUGGAGCGAAACUCAAAAAAGUAGUCUCAGUUCGGAUUGAAGGCUGAAAUUCGCCUUCAUGAAGCCG
rnacentral:rRNA from 1 species